AGAUGAUUGACCACUCUACUUCCUUUUACAACAGGUGCCCCUACUGAUUCACAAAGUUCCAAUGUUGAAUUUCCAUGACCCCGAUUGAUCUGUGACAGGAGAAGGAAUGAAGUUGGCAGGACUUUCCGCCCUGUCCUUGGUAGCAGCUGAUGAUGGAAAGGACAGAGUUGACAUGGCUCAUUUCAUCAAAGAUGCACUGAAAGCAGCGGCACUAUCUCCAUCACUGGUGAAAUGGGAAAUGACAAUUGGCGGUCAUCACUUUGCAGCUCACUGAUGCAUUCCGCAGCCGAUCUCUUUCCGUCUCCAAUGGUGGUCUCUGGAGGAAUGGUUGCAGUGCAGUCUUCACGUCCGGGGCAGGUGUAUGUCACUUGUGUGGCAGCUUGGAAUGGUGUUUUACCGAUUGCACUGACGGUGGCAUUGUUAUACUGGGCGUCUCCUUCCGCCCUUAUAGGUCUGAUGAAUGUUGGUGCCUGAUGCUGGUUUGAUGUUUGCGCCAAGAAGCAUACCACGCGUACCCUCUGUUGUAAGGCUGGUACCCAAGUGACCGACAGCCAUGGCAACAUUAAGCUGUGCGGCUCUCCGUCCCCUUCCUGAUCGACUGACUUCCUCGUACAGCUUUUCACGGUGACUUGUGUAAUGGCACUUCUUACAUCGAAUGAAAAGGAUCCAUGCUAGGCCUCUCUUUUCCUCCCCAUGCUGGUUCCAGUCCAGUAAACCGUCACAGUCCGGUG